rnacentral:sRNA from 1 species
UUUUUAAAUUAUAUUAAGACUCCUGUGACAUUUUGGAGAUGAGACUUGCUUGUAACGCCAUUGUUUUCAUCGUAAGUGUUGUUCUCUUCGGAUGUCACGUAGAAUCUCCAUGAGAUACACAGUUUUCAUCAGCUAUGUGAGCAAAAAGAGAAAAGGAAAUAUUUGUUUUGUGUCUUGAUGGGAGAAGAACUAAUUAGAGUUUUAGAGUAAUAUUGAACUCUGUCAUCCAAAGGUGUAACAACAAAACAUCUUUCGCCCGGCAAGCAUCAUCUGAACAGGGUUUUUUAUGAGUCCGGCUUCACCCGAUGAUGUCUUUGAGGUACCAUAAGUUCUUGAUUAUGUUUUUAAGUCCCUCCUUCUUCUCUGGUCAUUGACUGUCUGACUAUAAUUAGUUAGAGAAGUCAUAUCUGCAAUAUAAAAUGUCAUGUUUAUGAUUGAGUAUAAGAACUGGAAUCGCACCAUCAAUGUCUCAAACAUACUGGCAUCAAAUUUUAAUCUUUAAGUACUUUUUCGGGCCUUUCCGUGAUCUGUGCUAUAUUACGGACCCAAAAUUACUUGUUCAAACAUUAUUUUCAAAUAAUUUUCAUGUAUCAAAGCUCGUUAAGACUAGAUGGGGUAUCUCUACAUAGCGGGUGGGACCCAUGGCGAAUGGGUGAUAAAGUCAAAAUACGAUAGCAGAAUUGUUUCUUCACAUUUUUUAGUGUACUUGUUAUUGACU